rnacentral:rRNA from 1 species
AUGGAGCAGAUCGACGCCGACAAGCUCACCAAGGAGGACAUCGACGCUCAAGUGGCUCGGCCUCUUCCACCGCCGCAAGCAGUGUAUGCCCCUGCUCUGUCAAGCAAGCACUGCUGCACUGAGAGAAGAGAGUGUGCUCCAAAUGUACAGAGAGUAGGAGUACUGGCAUCAAUUUUAAACAACAUCAUCAUUCAGUACUCCAGCAUCAUCAUUCAGUACUCCAGGAGGCAUUCAGCAUCCAGCAUCCAGUGUUCAAUCCAGCAUCCAACAGGGAGGCAUUCAGUAACUGGGGGCGGGGCGGGGAAUACCAGCAGCAGCAACAGAGGCGGGGGCGGGCGCGACCGUCGAAGCAGGACCAGCGCGGAGAGGAAGAUCCUGGCCUUGGAGGAGAGGUUGAGCAGGGCCAACGCGGCGACGAACACCCUGGGCCAGAGCGGCGACGAAGACCCAGCGUCGGCGACGGCGGCCAGAAUUGUCCGCGGCGACGGCGACCAAGGUGGACGAAAUCAAGGACCCAGUCGUCGAUUUUGUGCUUCUCGGCACGAUUCAGAGGGAGGUGACUGUUGGAGCAAUCCCGCCGCUCAGGUAGGCGAAGGCACAACCAUGGCGGCUGCGCAGGUGGGCGGCGGCGCAGGUCGCGUCCGUGGAGGUCCCGCGCGUCUCCUCCGUGACGACGCAGGUCGUCUCCUGCACAGGCGGCUGGGUCCUAUGAAGCGCGGCUGGGUGCUGAGGAGAACAGUGGACUGGGGAGGAAGACGGGGGAAGGUGGCCGGAGCCGGCGACGCGCGGGCGACAGUGGAGUACUGA